GACGUAGGGCGCGAGCGUUGUCCGGAUUUAUUGGGCGUAAAGAGCUCGUAGGCGGCUUGUUGCGUCGACUGUGAAAACCCGCGGCUUAACCGCGGGCUUGCAGUUGAUACGGGCAGACUGGAGUACUGCAGGGGAGACUGGAAUUCCUGGUGUAGCGGUGGAAUGCGCAGAUAUCAGGAGGAACACCGGUGGCGAAGGCGGGUCUCUGGGCAGUAACUGACGCUGAGGAGCGAAAGCGUGGGGAGCGAACAGG
rnacentral:rRNA from 1 species